AUUGAACGCUGGCGGCAUGCCUUACACAUGCAAGUCGAACGGCAGCGCGGACUUCGGUCUGGCGGCGAGUGGCGAACGGGUGAGUAAUACAUCGGAACGUACCCUGUUGUGGGGGAUAACUAGUCGAAAGAUUAGCUAAUACCGCAUACGACCUGAGGGUGAAAGUGGGGGACCGCAAGGCCUCACGCAGCAGGAGCGGCCGAUGUCUGAUUAGCUAGUUGGUGGGGUAAAGGCCCACCAAGGCGACGAUCAGUAGCUAGUCUGAGAGGACGAUCAGCCACACUGGGACUGAGACACGGCCCAGACUCCUACGGGAGGCAGCAGUGGGGAAUUUUGGACAAUGGGGGCAACCCUGAUCCAGCAACGCCGCGUGUGUGAAGAAGGCCUUCGGGUUGUAAAGCACUUUUGUCCGGAAAGAAAUCGCGCUGGUUAAUACCUGGCGUGGAUGACGGUACCGGAAGAAUAAGCACCGGCUAACUACGUG
rnacentral:rRNA from 1 species